ensembl:lncRNA
GGAUCAUUGGGAUCAUUGGGAUUGGAUCACUGGGAUCACUGGGAUCAGGUACUGGGAUUACUGGGAUCACAAGGAUCAUUGGGAUCAGGCACUGGGAUCGCAAGGAUCACGGGAUCACUGGGAUAAUUGGGAUCACUGGGAUCAGGUACUGGGAUCACUGGGAUCACAAGGCUCCCAGGGAUCCCAGGGACCGUGGGUUCCUCCCUCCGGAGCUGCUGCGAUGCCAGACAUCGAUUUCCCUCCCUGUGUCGCUGCUGGAAUUGCAGAUACUCCAUGGAAAAUAAAAGCAUUUUGCAUUUUACUGCCUCAAAAUCCCGAUAUUUGGAGAUAAUCCCCCAAAAUUCCAACAUUCGGUGGCUCCCAUCACCCCACAGCCAAGAAUUCCGUGUUGGUGGAUGGAGAUCCCGAGGGAACAGUGUCCCUUUUGUCCCUUUUGUCCCUAAAAAAUGUCCCGGGGCUGGAAUUCCUCACCCCCGGAUCCCACCCCUCCCUUGCCGGUGGGAUCCGAGCUGCCGGGAGGAUCGGAGCGCCGGGAAUCUCACCGGGAUGAGGGGUAAGGAUGAUCCCAGCGGGAUCUGCUGCCACUCCCGUGGGAUUCCGAGCUGGAAAAAGGGCGAGGGUGGCUCAUUCCCAGCAGCUGGAUUUGGCUUGGGGGAAGGUUUUGGUCGGGAAAAGGAGCUGGAUCCCAAAUCCUGGCACCAGGAAUGUUGCUCCUGGAUUUCGGGAGGUGGAGCUGUGGCAUCGGGCAGGAUGAGACCCCCCCCCCCCCCUCCCCCCGAGGGGACCCUGGUGAGGAGGAGCCAAUGCCAGAAUCCCCUUGGAAAUCAUGGAAUGAUUCGGGUUGGAAAAGACCUCGGAGAAAGAUUCCACACCUGGAAUAUUCCUGGCCUUUUGGGGAAGGAGUUUUUGUCCCUCCAUGGAAUCGCGGCUUGGCUCGGCAAGGACCCCAAGACCCCAUUCCCACCUCCAUCCAGGGAUUUAAGCCCCAACUUCCCAAAUUCCACCCUAAUUCCAAAGGUUUGUGCACACAAGCACCGCGGGGAGGUCGCCGGGGCGGACCUGCAGAACCAGGAAACUGCGAGGCCAAAAUUUAACCCCAAAAACACCUGGGAAAAGCUUCAUUCCCUGCCCUGCGAAAGAGAAUUCCCGAGGAAAUCCCUGGAAAAGUUUCGGGAGCGGCCAGGGCUCGAGUCCCGGGAGGUGUCACCUCCUGGCACCUCCCGAAUCCCGCGCAAAGGUCCCCGUUCCGCCCGUUUGUUUAAACAAACACAUUCCCGGCGGGACAAAUCCCCGGGAAUACCCAGAGGGAGACGGAACCCGGGGCCGUUUGGCUCCGGGGAGGGCGAAAUUUGGGAUUUUCCUGGGAUUUCUGCUGGCGGGACACCCCGGCCGAGGCUCUGCGGGAGCUUUGGGCGCUCUCGGAGCUUUUCCAUGCUCCCGGAUAUUCCCGGAGAUGAAAUCCCGCCUGGAUCCGGCUGCGCUGGGACUGCCCGAGGUGUGUGACCCGUCCGGGACCGGGACAAGAGUCCAGCCCUGAGCGGCACCGGGAGGCCCCCCCAAAAAUCCUGGAGCCUCCGCACGCCCUGGAGCCCCCCCAAGUCACCCCAGAGCCCCGCGGGGGGG